CACAUGUUUUGUAUUCCAAAUCAACAUUCUUAUCUUCAAAAUAAACAUGGCCUAAAUUUACGCACUGGCAUUACACAACGACAUUGUGAGUCAAGCUAGAAAGUACACGCAAUCCUCUGCAUCCCACUCCCAAAAACUUCAUUCUAAUUAGGGGUGACAUCCGAUCCAAAAAAAUUACAUUUGACCUUUCAUCUCCUUGAGAUCUUCUCUCUCGUUGCACCACUCUUAAUCUACUGCCAUCAAUGUCAUGACUUCAAACUACCAUAUUCGCUGGGACUACAAGCCCCCAUCGUCGUCAUCGUCCUUGACCAAGGGUUGCUCAUCAUCGUGAUUCUAUAUCUUCGCAAUUUCAACCUAUCGUCACCAUCCCUUUGCGGUUUCAGACCAUUUUCAACUGGGAGUUGUCUUCGCAAUCUCAAACCGAGAUCAUCCUAUUGGAGUUUGGGUUGGUCCCACAAUAUAAAAAUGAUAAAUUUAUGCUAAGCCAAAUAAAUCAAAAAAAAUAAACAAGACAAGAACACAAGAUAUACGUGGUUCGAUAAUUUGCCUACACCCACAAGCUAAAUCAAUCCACUAAAUAAGAUAGUAAAUACAAUUUACAAUAAGACAAUACAAGAUUACCUCUCUUUACCGUCUAUAACUUACAACAAGACCAUUACUUAGAUGUAGUUAAACCCAUAGUGGAACACCUAGUGUAUAAUACUCCAUGAUUAUAGAACUUGAAUACUAGAAGUACUCUCACACAACUUUGUCUCUCACUCACUCACUAAAUGUAUCACUCUUAGAUUUCUUGUUGUCUUUCUUGUGUCCCAAACACAAGAGAUUACCUAUAUUUAAGGUGCAGUAGAAGAACCUGAAACUCUCUCAAAUACUUAUCCAAUUUAUAGCCAAGAACGAAUUCCCAGAACCUUCUAGAAUAAAGCGGAACCUUCUCCAGCCUUCUAGGCUCUUCUCUAAU
rnacentral:lncRNA from 1 species